rnacentral:rRNA from 1 species
UGGGGAAUUUUGGACAAUGGGCGCAAGCCUGAUCCAGCAAUGCCGCGUGCAGGAUGAAGGCCUUCGGGUUGUAAAAUGCUUUUGUACGGAACGAAACGGCUCUUUUUAAUAAAGGGAGCUAAUGACGGUACCGUAAGAAUAAGCACCGGCUAACUACGUGCCAGCAGCCGCGGUAAUACGUAGGGUGCGAGCGUUAAUUGGAAUUACUGGGCGUAAAGCGUGCGCAGGCGGUUAUGUAAGACAGAUGUGAAAUCCCCGGGCUCAACCUGGGACCUGCAUUUGUGACUGCAUAGCUAGAGUACGGUAGAGGGGGAUGGAAUUCCGCGUGUAGCAGUGAAAUGUGUAGAUAUGCGGAGGAACACCGAUGGCGAAGGCAAUCCCCUGGACCUGUACUGACGCUCAUGCACGAAAGCGUGGGGAGCAAACAGGAUUAGAUACCCUGGUAGUCCACGCCGUAAACGAUGUCUACUAGCUGUUCGUGGUCUUGUACUGUGAGUAGCGCAGCUAACGCACUAAGUAGACCGCCUGGGGAGUACGGUCGCAAGAUUA